AUCAUGUAAGGAAGACAGUGAAAGACAACCAACGAAUUUGCCUGUUUCGGCCUAUACUUGAAUUCGAAGAUAACUCUUUUCACUAUGAGCUUGAAAAACAACAGAAUUAUGGUAAUCAACCAUAUCAGCACUUGAUUGUGAGAAUACUUCGAUUAAUGGUAUAGAACCUUUGUGAAAUAACCAAUCUACAACCCCCCAUUUGGCUGCUAAGGAUGAAUUAUACUUUUGUUCACAUUUUGCAGCUCCAGUCCCUAUUGAUAUUACAAGAAAACGACCAUAGUCCGUUGGUUUUAUUGGGAAAAACUCUGGGUUGUUCUUGAAAAUUUCUUUGCUUACUUCUGCUAUUGCAACCAAACCCUGAAAAAGACAUGGCAACAUAUAUUUUAAGAAUAUGCUAAUAGUAUAAAUUUUAUUGUAUCGUCAAUAUAUAUAAGUUAAAUUCUUAGUAUUAAUGAAGUGUGUAAUAUGUACCAGGUUAUUUGCAGCAACGCCACCAUCAAUGAGAUUAUGUUCACUAACGUUGCCUUUGCUAUCUUCAACUUUGAAACUAUGAGCUGGAAGAUAAGUUGGUGCUGCUGAAGUACUAAUACAAACAUCAGACAAUUUUGCAUCAUAACAUGCU
rnacentral:lncRNA from 1 species